rnacentral:misc_RNA from 1 species
UUUUUUGCAUCCUCCUCUGUAAGACCAAGAGAGAACUUGGUGAUGAGGGUUCCAGUUACGGCGAAGCCAACCAGGAAAGGCCAGUUCCUGUUAAACUCUCGCUUGAAGAAGACAGGCCACGGAUCAAACCACCUAGGCAUCUUUCUCUCUCUUUUCUCUGAUCAGCCUCUCUCUCCUAGCAGCAGCGAGAUUUGCAGUUUCGGCUUGUAUCCUCUUGUCGCCGUCGGCUUUCAUUUAGCUUAG